rnacentral:misc_RNA from 1 species
UCCGGUUUGGCACCGGCAGUCCCUCCAGAGUCCCCGGCCGGCCUCUCGGCCGCCGCUGGCAACUGGACGCGGGGGUUGCGCUCGUUGCGGGACUUAACCCAACAUCUCACGACACGAGCUGACGACAGCCAUGCAGCACCUGUGCUGGUACUCCGAAGAGGGGCCCGGCUUUCACCGGGCUUUCACCAGCAUGUCAAGCCUAGGUAAGGUUCUUCGCGUUGCGUCGAAUUAAACCACAUGCUCCACCGCUUGUGCGGGCCCCCGUCAAUUCCUUUGAGUUUCAGCCUUGCGGCCGUACUCCCCAGGCGGGGCACUUAAUGCGUUAGCGACGGCACUCGGGGGGUCGCUCCCCCAAGCACCUAGUGCCCAUCGUUUACGGCGUGGACUAC